UGCAACAUUGUGGCAUGCUACGGAAAUGUGUACGCCACAAAAGACAUCUUGCGGCCUAUGUUGCAUGCGGCAGGUUAAUUUAUAUCGAAGCAACAGCAUUUGUGUCACACUCAUUCGGUCUUGUAGGAGAAUGGCUGAAAAGUGAUUGCGGCUGCUUACUUUGUCAUCGCACAUGCCACUAACAAUGGAAAUGAAAAUAAACGGAAAAGAAAACGAUGGUGGAAGAGAAGAAUACUUACAGAAGGCCUACGAACGGGCAUACUAGGAGAUCUAGCAGCAGAUGAUUGUGCAUUGUUUAAAACAUAUCACAAAUCCGGUACCGCACCAGAAUGACUACAGGAUUGCAACACCAAGUAUUCUAUACCACCACCCUAUAUUUUAUGGGAUGGUCACGAAUGAGAUGCCAUGGCCAACACCCAAGAUCAUUAUUUGAUAUUUUACCAUCUGUGCCAAAUUAAUGUGUCUGGUAAGAUAUUAAUGUUAUGACACUAUCAAUAGUAGUAUCAAAGAUACACUUUCAAAAACUGAAAUGGUUCACAUUGCACUGUGAGAACCUGCUGUUAUAAAAUGUUUAUUGAAGUGGAUGACACUUGUCUCUCGUGUGUUGGUGCUACUGUUGUAAUGAAUGUGUUCAAAACAGCUACAGUAAAAUAAAUUUGUUUAUUGCAAAAGG